rnacentral:lncRNA from 10 species
GGCAAAAUAGUUUAUUUGAGCAAAUACAUUCUUGAAUUGAGCAGCUGCAAACCAGAAGUGGUUGAGGGAAUGCAGGGUGAAGGCUUUGAUAAGAAGGAUGCAGAAGUAAACCAAAGAAAAGCUUGGAUUGGUGACAGUCACACUGUUGCCUGCUUCGGUCUGUCCCGCGGAGAAGCCUUAGUUAUGUAAGUUUCUUGGCUGCUUUGGCUGGCUGAGCUUCAGCUCUGUUUUUCUUUAAUAUAGGCUCAAAUUAAGUUUCACUUAUGGGCUGGGCACCGUGGCUCAUGCCUGCAAUCCCGGCACUCUGGGAGGCCGAAGCAGGUGGAUCACUUGAAAUCAGGAGUUCAAGACCAGCUGGGCCAACAGGGUGAAACACCAUCUCCACAAAAAAUACAAAAAUUAGCCAGGCACGGUGGUACGUGUCUGUUGUCCCAACUACUAAGGAGGCUGAGGCAGGAGAAUCACUUGAACCCAGAGGGCGGAGGUUGCAGUGAGCUGAGAUAGCACCACUGCACUCCAGGCAACAGAGGGAGACUCCAUCUUGAAAUUUUAAAAAAAAGUUUCAUUUAUAUUUACAAAUCAAGCAAGGUUGACAACACUCAUGAGGCCUGCAUGUUUUGUCUGCUCAGUCUCCAUUUUAACUUAACUUUAGCAAACAGGAGAGUAUCUUCAUGACUUUGGGAUCAUGUGUUGAGUUAUUUAUCUGUUGAGCUAUUUAUGGUGUUUCUGAGUACAUCUCUUCAUCCACUUUUUUAGUUGCUGUUCUAGGUUAUUACUUAUACGUGGCUCAUGACAGUUUGCCGGUGUUGACAUUUUACCAGCUUCAGGGAAGUGCUGAAGCCUUCCCUCCCUGGUGUCCAUUUAGUUCCCCACCUAUAACAUAUCAUAAACAUUUCCUUUACAUUUAUCAAGAAUCACAUCAGUCGGUAUUCUAAUUUUUUUCUUCAACCAUCACACAUAAUUUAGGAAACUCAAGAGGAGAAGGAAACCUAUUAUGUUCACUCAUAAUUCUGCCUACUGCGCUCUUUCUUCCUUCCUGAUGUUCCAAGGUUUCUUCUUUCACUGUUUCCAUUUCUGUUCCGAGACCUGCCUUAGCCACUCUUUUUUAGGUCCGCUGGUGACAAACACGCUUGGUUUUCCUUCAUCUGAGGAUGUCUUGACGCCCCUUUCAUUCCUGAACGGUCUUCUCACUGGGUAUAGCAUUCUGGGUUGACGGUUCUCUUUCAGCGGUGAGGACAGCAGAGCCUCAGGCCUGAGGGUGCCUGCGCCCACCCCUUGAAGGGAGCGCCUGCAUGUCAGGAGCACCCAGGAGCAGUCGGCAGCUGCUGGUGAGCAGCAGCAACUCCUUCACCAAGAGAGAAGUCGCUGUGAGCGGCACCGGAGCAGCCCAC